rnacentral:rRNA from 1 species
UACGGGGGGAGCAAGCGUUGUUCGGAUUUACUGGGCGUAAAGGGCGCGUAGGCGGCCACCGCAAGUCGGUUGUGAAAUCUCUGGGCUUAACCCAGAAAGGUCAACCGAUACUGCGGGGCUAGAGUGCAGAAGGGGCAACUGGAAUUCUCGGUGUAGCGGUGAAAUGCGCAGAUAUCGAGAGGAACACCUGCGGCGAAGGCGGGUUGCUGGGCUGACACGUGACGCUGAAGCGCGAAAGCUAGGGGAGCGAACGGG